UACGUAGGGUGCGAGCGUUGUCCGGAAUUACUGGGCGUAAAGAGCUCGUAGGUGGUUUGUCGCGUUGUUCGUGAAAACUCACAGCUUAACUGUGGGCGUGCGGGCGAUACGGGCAGACUGGAGUACUGCAGGGGAGACUGGAAUUCCUGGUGUAGCGGUGGAAUGCGCAGAUAUCUGGAGGAACACCGGUGGCGAAGGCGGCAUCCUGGACCAAUAUUGACGCUGAGGAGCGAAAGCCAGGGGAGCAAACGGG
rnacentral:rRNA from 1 species